AACAGCGGAGAGUUUGAUCCUGGCUCAGGAUGAACGCUAGCGGCAGGCUUAACACAUGCAAGUCGAGCGGCAGCGGGGGAGGAGCUUGCUCCUCCCGCCGGCGAGCGGCGCACGGGUGAGUAACACGUAUGCAACCUGCCCUUGUCAGGGGGACAACCCGCCGAAAGGCGGGCUAAUCCCGCGUAAAUCUCCCGGGGGCAUCCCUGGGGGAAGAAAGGCGCGAGCCGGACAAGGAUGGGCAUGCGGCGCAUUAGGCAGUUGGCGGGGUAACGGCCCACCAAACC
rnacentral:rRNA from 1 species